AUUGAACGCUGGCGGCAUGCCUUACACAUGCAAGUCGAACGGCAGCGCGGGGCAACCUGGCGGCGAGUGGCGAACGGGUGAGUAAUAUAUCGGAACAUACCCUAGAGUGGGGAUAACGUAGCGAAAGUUACGCUAAUACCGCAUACGCACUAAGGUGGAAAGUGGGGGAUCUUCGGACCUCAUGCUCAUGGAGUGGCCGAUAUCUGAUUAGCUAGUUGGUGAGGUAAAGGCUCACCAAGGCGACGAUCAGUAGCUGGUUUGAGAGAACGACCAGCCACACUGGAACUGAGACACGGUCCAGACUCCUACGGGAGGCAGCAGUGGGGAAUUUUGGACAAUGGGGGCAACCCUGAUCCAGCAAUGCCGCGUGAGUGAAGAAGGCCUU
rnacentral:rRNA from 1 species